rnacentral:lncRNA from 1 species
CCUCCUGCGACGGAUUCUGUGCAGCUCCACCACUCUCCGUAACAGGCUCCAUGCGGCAGACCGCAGUAAUGGCCACGAUUCUGCUCCACUUUCUGCGACGGAUACUGUAUGGCUCCACCACUCCCAGGUGAGUCGCGACAACGGACGUCGCUCCACUCUUCGCAACAGACUCCACGUGGAGAGCCAUGAUGACAGCCAUGACUCCACCCC